GAUGUAGCCAAGUGGAUCAAGGAAGUGGAUUGUGAAUCCAC
rnacentral:tRNA from 1 species